CUCUCCUGGGGAUGGUUGUCAACUUCCACUACUAUCAGGAAUUCCUUGGAGGGGCUAAGGAAGUUCUGCACCUCCUUCUUGGCACCACUGGAGAGCAAGUGGAGGCGGCCAUCGUUGACCAACUUUUCUGCCGGGAGACUUUCAGCCAGGGGUUGUCUGCCAUGGUGAGAGCCGUCGGAAAACAACGCUGGUG